UUAGUGAAUGAACUUCUGGCUGGAUGCUGUUGUGCUGGCCCUUUGGGGCAAUGUGCACACCUCUGGUUGUUUGUUUCUUCUGUUCCACCUGUGCACUGCCUGUAGACACUCUGUGUCUAUGAUAUUGGUUACACACACACAUGAUGUUAUGUUAUGUUGGUUGGCAUAUUACAAUAUAUGUAUAUGAUGUUAUACAACUUUCAACAACGGAUCUCUUGGCUCUCGCAUCGAUGAAGAACACAGCGAAAUGUGAUAAGUAAUGUGAAUUGCAGAAUCCAGUGAAUCAUCGAAUCUUUGAACGCAUCUUGCGCUCCUUGGCAUUCCGAGGAGCAUGCCUGUUUGAGUGUCAUUAAACUAUCAAAACACACACACCUUUCUUGGUUGGGUGUUUUGGACUUUGGGAGCAUUUUGCUGGUCUGUCUGAGCCAGCUCUCCUUAAAAGCAUUAGCUUUGGAGACCAUCAGUGUGAUAACUUUGUUUACACUGACUGAGUGUGUCUCUGCUUCUUGAAUGUCCCCUUUGACCUCAAAUCANGUAGGACUACCCGCUGAACUUAAGCAUAUCA
rnacentral:rRNA from 1 species